GUAACGUCAACAAUGCGAGACGAGACGAGACGAGAUAGUUAAGGCACGGCCCCGAAACGCAGCUGGAAUCUGGAAGCGUGAACAAGCAGCCGACAUUACAGACUGACACAUACCGUGUGCGCGCGACAGCAGCGUGAGCUCCAUACGGCUGAUAAAGGGGAACGGAGAGGGCGGCAAAUGGCAAGCGAAAGGGGAUGAGAUCACUCACAAAAGUAGACUUUUGUAAUCCGGUGGGCCGCGUAACGGCAGCGCGCGUGUACUUUAGUAUUAAACCACCUCUUUGUCUUCUUUGUGUGGUUUUAGCAGAGCAGAAGUACAGCGAGGAGAGAGCUCGGAACAGUUGGCGCACAACCGGAGACAAGCCUGGGACGCCUUACAUGCAUUAAAGCAUGGUGAUUGGUAAAUUCCUGCACUGUUUAAAAGAUUGAGACUAUGGAACUGAGGUCACUGGAAACACAGGAAGAAGAGAAAACAGAGGGAAUCUGAUACCAUUGCAUGCUGUCCUUGUUCCUCAUGAAAUGGUGAGUAUCUGCCAACCCACAGCACCAGCAGCUGUGUGAAUGAGAGCACGAGAGAGAUAAAGAAGGACAGAGGAAGGGAGUAAAUGAGGCAAGCCAUGUGGGUGAAGGGUAAAGUUUGAUUUUCUGAA